AGUCGACGGGAUUGAGAGCUUGCUCUCAUGAGAGUGGCGCACGGGUGAGUAACGCGUAUGCAACCUACCUUUAACUGAGGGAUAGCCCAUAGAAAUGUGGAUUAAUACCUCAUAGUUCUUUUGAUCCUCCUGGAUUGAUAGAUAAAGCUCCGGCGGUUAAAGAUGGGCAUGCGUGACAUUAGCUAGUUGGUAAGGUAACGGCUUACCAAGGCUACGAUGUCUAGGGGUUCUGAGAGGAUGAUCCCCCACACUGGUACUGAGACACGGACCAGACUCCUACGGGAGGCAGCAGUGAGGAAUAUUGGUCAAUGGGCGCAAGCCUGAACCAGCCAUCCCGCGUGCAGGAUGACGGCCCUAUGGGUUGUAAACUGCUUUUAUACACCAAGAAAAAUUCCCACGUGUGGGGACCUGACGGUAGUGUAUGAAUAAGCAUCGGCUAACUCCGUGCCAGCAGCCGCGGUAAUACGGAGGAUGCAAGCGUUAUCCGGAUUUAUUGGGUUUAAAGGGUGCGUAGGCGGCCUUUUAAGUCAGUGGUGAAAUCCUACCGCUUAACGGUAGAAUUGCCAUUGAUACUGAAAGGCUUGAGUACAUUUGAGGUAAGCGGAAUGUGUAGUGUAGCGGUGAAAUGCUUAGAUAUUACACAGAACACCAAUUGCGAAGGCAGCUUACUAAACUGAUACUGACGCUGAUGCACGAAAGCGUGGGGAGCGAACAGGAUUAGAUACCCUGGUAGUCCACGCCGUAAACGAUGUUCACUCGCUGUUUGCGAUACACAGCAAGCGGCCAAGCGAAAGCAUUAAGUGAACCACCUGGGGAGUACGAUCGCAAGGUUGAAAC
rnacentral:rRNA from 1 species